AAAGUUUUAAGUUAAAAAAACUAUUAGCCUUCAAAGUUGAAUUUAUUAUUAAAUAAACUUU
rnacentral:tRNA from 1 species